AACAUCGCGCACCUGCGGGAACCUGCGGAAGGAUCAUUACUGAGACUUUAAAUCUCUACCCUUGUGAACAUUACCUAGUGUUGCUUCGGCAGGUUUUCCCUGGGAGGGAAGUAGCCCUUUGGGCAAUCUGCCAGAGGCAUUUUUUACUCUUGAUUUUUUUGGAUUCUGAGAAAAAUUUUAAAAUAAAAAAAAACUUUUAACAAUGGAUCU
rnacentral:misc_RNA from 1 species